CUACGGGUUGCUGCAGUGGGGAAUAUUGCACAAUGGGCGAAAGCCUGAUGCAGCAACGCCGCGUGAGGGAUGAAGGCCUUCGGGUUGUAAACCUCUUUUAGCAGGGAAGAAGCGAAAGUGACGGUACCUGCAGAAAAAGCACCGGCUAACUACGUGCCAACAGCCGCGGUAAUACGUAGGGUGCAAGCGUUGUCCGGGAUUAUUGGGCGUAAAGAGCUCGUAGGCGGUUUGUCACGUCUGCUGUGAAAAUCCGAGGCUCAACCUCGGACUUGCAGUGGGUACGGGCAGGCUAGAGUGCGGUAGGGGAGAAGGGAAUUCCUGGUGUAGCGGUGGAAUGCGCAGAUAUCAGGAGGAACACCAAUGGCGAAGGCACUUCUCUGGGCCGUAACUGACGCUGAGGAGCGAAAGCGUGGGGAGCGAACAGGAUUAGAUACCCGAGUAGUC
rnacentral:rRNA from 1 species